rnacentral:tRNA from 1 species
GGUAGCGUGUCGCAGUGGAAGCGUGCUGAGCCCAUAACCCUGAUGUCGGUGGAUCGAAACCCCUCGCUACUA